rnacentral:rRNA from 1 species
CAGCAGCCACGGGAAAACGUAGGUGGCGAGCGUUGUCCGGAAUUAUUGGGCGUAAAGGGCGCGUAGGCGGACUGAUAAGUCAGGGGUGAAAUCCCAAGGCUCAACCUUGGAACUGCCUUUGAUACUGUUUGUCUUGAAUUCGAGAGAGGUAAGUGGAACUGCGAGUGUAGAGGUGAAAUUCGUAGAUAUUCGCAAGAACACCAGUGGCGAAGGCGGCUUACUGGCUCGAAACUGACGCUGAGGCGCGAAAGCGUGGGGAGCGAACAGGAUUAGAGACCCCCGUAGUCCCUGUCUCUUAUAC